UUUGCAUGAUGAUUAUUAAUUCAGUUCUGCUACUGAAGAAAUUUGACGACAAAAAAAAUACCAAAUCACUGAAAG
rnacentral:snoRNA from 1 species